AAGUCGAACGGUAGGAGGGGGACCAACCCUGAGAGUGGCGAACGGGUGAGUAAUAUAGUCGGAACGUGCCCAGUCGGUGGGGAAUAACGUAGACGAAAGUUACGCUAAUACCGCAUACGAUCUACGGAUGAAAGUGGGGGGAUCGCAAGACCUCAUGCUCAUGGAGCGGCCGAUAUCUGAUUAGCUAGUUGGUGGGUAAAGGCCUACCAAGGCUUCGAUCAGUAGCUGGUCUGAGAGGACGACCAGCCACACUGGAACUGAGACACGGUCCAGACUCCUACGGGAGGCAGCAGUGGGGAAUUUUGGACAAUGGGCGAAAGCCUGAUCCAGCAAUGCCGCGUGAGUGAAGAAGGCCUUCGGGUUGUAAAGCUCUUUUGUCAGGGAAGAAACGGUGGACUCUAAUACAGAUCACUAAUGACGGUACCUGAAGAAUAAGCACCGGCUAACUACGUG
rnacentral:rRNA from 1 species